UACGUAGGCAGCAAGCGUUGUUCGGAGUUACUGGGCGUAAAGGGUGUGUAGGCGGUUGUUUAAGUUUGGGGUGAAAUCUCCCGGCUCAACUGGGAGGGUGCGCCGAAUACUGAAUGACUUCGAGUGCGGGAGAGGAUAGUGGAAUUCCUGGUGUAGCGGUGAAAUGCGUAGAUAUCAGGAGGAACACCGGUGGUGUAGACGGCUAUCUGGACCGUAACUGACGCUGAGACACGAAAGCGUGGGUAGCAAACAGG
rnacentral:rRNA from 1 species